GAUGAACGCUGGCGGCGUGCCUAAUACAUGCAAGUCGAGCGAACAGACGAGGAGCUUGCUCCUCUGACGUUAGCGGCGGACUGGUGAGUAACACGUGGAUAACCUACCUAUAAGACUGGGAUAACUUCGGGAAACCGGAGCUAAUACCGGAUAAUAUAUUGAACCGCAUGGUUCAAUAGUGAAAGACGGUUUUGCUGUCACUUAUAGAUGGAUCCGCGCCGCAUUAGCUAGUUGGUAAGGUAACGGCUUACCAAGGCAACGAUGCGUAGCCGACCUGAGAGGGUGAUCGGCCACACUGGAACUGAGACACGGUCCAGACUCCUAAGGGAGGCAGCAGUAGGGAAUCUUCCGCAAUGGGCGAAAGCAUGACGGAGCAAAGCCGCGUGAGUGAGGAAGGUCUUCGGAUCGUAAAACUCUGUUAUUAGGGAAGAACAAAUGUGUAAGUAACUAUGCACGUCUUGACGGUACCUAAUCAGAAAGCCACGGCUAACUACGUG
rnacentral:rRNA from 1 species